rnacentral:tRNA from 1 species
GGUAGGGUGGCUGAGGGAAGAAGCGGUGGCUUGUAGUUCCACAAACAGAGGUUAGACUCCUUUCCUUACCA